CAGGUAUGACUGUAGCCUUGUGGCUAGCCUACAGUAUUUUAGGCCUACUUCAAAAUGUUUUUUUCUAUGUUUUCGUUCUACUGAUAACUAUAAAAACAGAGAUAUAGAAGACCGAAAGCUUAAAAAGACAGGUGGUGGUCCACGACAAAAAAAUAUUAAAAGCUUCAGAAGAAAUUGCCUUAACAGCAUCAUUGAUGAGGGCCGAGUUAGCAGUGGCUGGUAAUUUUUACGAGACCUUCCGCAGUCACCCAGUAGAUGAAGAAAUAAUUCCUUAUAGAAUGUGCAGAUAGGGCCAUCAACCGUGCUCACCAGUCAUUGUUCCUGCCUCGACAGUGAAUGCUCCUACCUCACCAGUGAAUGCUCCUGCCUCACCAGUCAUUGUUCCUGCCUCGACAGUGAAUGCUCCUACCUCACCAGUGAAUGCUCCUGCCUCACCAGUCAUUGUUUCUGCCUCGACAGUGAAUGCUCCUACCUCACCAGUGAAUGCUCCUACCUCACUAGUGAAUGCUCCUGCCUCACCAGUCAUUGUUCCUGCCUCACCAGUCAUUGUUCCUGCCUCACCAGUCAUUGUUCCUGCCUCACCAGUCAUUGCUCCUGCCUCACCAACACUGGAGCAGGUUCAGGUACAUUCAGGAGCCUGUGCAUGCGUAACAGACGUGACCAAUCGUCCAAGCGGCUAACAAGCCAGUCAGUGGUGAAUAGGAUAAAAGUAUAUACAUGCUGUUAGAAAUUUACUUUCUUACAUUUUACAAUUAAAUAAUUUGAUUUAAAGUAAAUAAAUCUACAUUAAUUUAUUUUGUCAAAAAUUUUCUUAAGUUAAAAAAGCCGGCAGAAGUAUAGCGGCUAAUAUUUUGCUCACACGUCGCCGCGCUUCUCUGGGCGCACACGUCGCCGCGCUUCUCUGGGCGCGCACGUCGCCGCGCUUCUCUGGGCGCGCACGUCGCCGCGCUUCUCUGGACCUGGUCUCA